rnacentral:rRNA from 1 species
GNGNGAAGCGUGACGCAGCACGCCGCGUGGGGGAAGAAGGCUUUCGGGUUGUAAACCCCUUUCAGUCGGGACGAAGCUUCGCCGGUAAACAGCCGGCUGGAGUGACGGUACCUUCACAAGAAGCACCGGCUAACUACGUGCCAGCAGCCGCGGUAAUACGUAGGGUGCAAGCGUUGUCCGGAAUUAUUGGGCGUAAAGAGCGUGUAGGCGGCCCGAUUAGUCCGCUGUGAAAGUCCAGGGCUCAACCCUGGAAUGCCGGUGGAUACUGUCGGGCUAGAGUCCGGAAGGGGCGAGUGGAAUUCCUGGUGUAGCGGUGAAAUGCGCAGAUAUCAGGAGGAACACCAAUGGCGAAGGCAGCUCGCUGGGACGUGACUGACGCUGAGACGCGAAAGCGUGGGGAGCAAACAGGAUUAGAUACCCUGGUAGUCCACGCUGUAAACGAUGGCAACUAGAUGUGGGGGGUGUCGACUCCCCCCGUGUCGAAGCUAACGCAUUAAGUUGCCCGCCUGGGGAGUACGGCCGCAAGGCUAAAACUCAAAAAAAUUGACGGA